GAUCCUGGCUCAGAUUGAACGCUGGCGGCGUGCUUAACACAUGCAAGUCGUACGCGAAAGGGACUUCGGUCCCGAGUAAAGUGGCGCACGGGUGAGUAACACGUGGAUAAUCUGCCUCUAUGAUGGGGAUAACAGUUGGAAACGACUGCUAAUACCGAAUACGCUCAUGAUGAACUUGUGAGGAAAGGUAGGGCCUCCUGCUUGUCAAGACUAUCGCAUAGAGAUGAGUCGCCG
rnacentral:rRNA from 1 species